rnacentral:misc_RNA from 1 species
CUAAGACUAAAAACAAAAGAAUAACAAGAUUCAUGUCUCACCUGGUGCUUGCACAAGAAAUAGGUGUCAUAUCAAAUAGUACGAGGUGUUACAGGGUAAAAGGGCAUUACAAUGAUUUUUACAUGCCUCCAAAGAAAUGAAUAUUUGAUUAUCCAGAUGAUUACAUUCAAAGCAAUAAAAAUUAUUUUCUUCCAGAGGAUUUUUAAGCAUCAACUGCAAUUAUACUCAAUAAAUGCUUAGGGAACUACAUGCUCAUUCAACAACUAAGACCAGGAAGCACAAAAUUACAAACGAAUGACUUUCUUUGUACUGCCUAAAAGCAGAUUGAACCAAAUUCAUCCUUCCAUUUAUAUUCUAAUACCAAAGAGAAACAUGGCAAUCAUCCUUCAGUUCAUACCAGAAAAUAUAAAGUGGAUUUAGAGAACAAAACAACAAUUACACCAUAUAACACAAAAUAACUUGAUUGCUGAAUUCAUUUUGCACUGUAACAGAUGCACAAUUAGCUGCAAAUUCCAACCUGGUGUACCACCGAGAAAAAGAAAACCGUAAUUGGACAACAAGGGAGCAACACACAUACCAUGACUGCAACGAACACAAGCACCACACUUCACCUUGCAUACAUUGCACACUAAUUUCCUCCGUGUUUCCUUUAUUUCU